CUUCAAAGCGGGCUUUGUGUGGCGCCUGCGUGGGGGCCAGCUGCAGCCUGGCUACCCAGCAUUGGCCUCUCGCCACUGGCAGGGACUGCCCAGCCCUGUGGACGCUGCCUUCGAGGAUGCCCAGGGCCACAUUUGGUUCUUCCAAGGUGCUCAGUACUGGGUGUACGACGGUGAAAAGCCAGUCCUGGGCCCCGCACCCCUCACCGAGCUGGGCCUGGUGAGGUUCCCGGUCCAUGCUGCCUUGGUCUGGGGUCCCGAGAAGAACAAGAUCUACUUCUUCCGAGGCAGGGACUACUGGCGUUUCCACCCCAGCACCCGGCGUGUAGACAGUCCCGUGCCCCGCAGGGCCACUGACUGGAGAGGGGUGCCCUCUGAGAUCGACGCUGCCUUCCAGGAUGCUGAUGGUGCGUUGGGGGUGAGGCAGCUGGUGGGAGGUGGGCACAGCAGCCGCUUCUCCCACCUGGUGGUGGCUGGGCUCCCACAUGCCUGCCACAGGAAGUCUGGCUCUUCAUCACAGGUCCUUUGUCCAGAGCCAUCUGCCCUCCUCUC
rnacentral:sRNA from 1 species